rnacentral:antisense_RNA from 1 species
CUUCACCGAGCCCAGCCGGACCGGCUGGUCCUCCGCGCGGCCCUGACCGUAGGUGGCCAGCAGGGCCUGAGCCUC